AAUCAACGCUGGCGGCGCGCUUAACACAUGCAAGUCGCACGAGAAAGGGAGCAAUCCUGAGUAAAGUGGCGCACGGGUGAGUAACACGUGGGUAUCUACCUUUUUGUGGGGAAUAACUUGGGGAAACCCGAGCUAAUACCGCAUAAGCUCGAGAGAGGAAAGCCGAAAGGCGCAGAAAGAGGAGCCCGCGGCUGAUUAGCUAGUUGGUGAGGUAAUGGCUCACCAAGGCUUAGAUCGGUAGCCGGCCUGAGAGGGCACACGGCCACACUGGCACUGAAACACGGGCCAGACUCCUACGGGAGGCAGCAGUGGGGAAUCUUGCACAAUGGAGGAAACUCUGAUGCAGCGACGCCGCGUGAACGAUGAAGCCCUUCGGGGUGUAAAGUUCUUUCGCCAGGAACGAUAAUGACGGUACCUGGAGAAGAAGCUGCGGCUAACUACGUGCCAGCAGCCGCGGUAAUACGUAGGCAGCAAGCGUUGUUCGGAAUUAUUGGGCGUAAAGAGUAUGUAGGUGGUGUCGUAAGUUUGGUGUGAAAUCUCCUGGCUUAACUGGGAGGGUGUGCCGAAGACUGCGAUGCUUGAGUAUGGGAGAGG
rnacentral:rRNA from 1 species